GACACAGGCUCCUUCCACCUUGAGGUUUACAUCCUUAACGGACUUGGAAUUCCCUGUUCUGGGGAAGGGGGUUUGCAAAAGUUCCACGUACGUCGCAAAAGCCAUGGCCUGUUCCAGACAUUCCUUUGACCAAAGAGAAGCCUGAGCCAGCACCUCCCCCACAUCCCACCAAGGAAAGACCCAAUCCAUACUCCAAUACUUGCAGACGUUUAGUAAAGAUAUCUUACUGAUGGGAGGGAGGUGGCAACAAGUUUUCUCCUGGAGCCAAAGAACACAUCAUAGUUCAAGACUACAAAGAACUCUCCGUGGGAUUUUUUGGAGUCAGUGUGACUUCUCCCAGGUCAUACAAGUGCAUUUAUAGACCUCUUGACAAUGAAGAUAAACUGCAUCCAGUGUCCUAUAUG